GAAGAGAAUGGUCACAUGUGACAGGAAAGGGGAGGAAGAGGAGCAAGAACAGCCGGAGGGGUACAGGGACAACGCGGACGAUGACUGGGGAGGUUGGCAGCAGGCCCCGUGACUGCGCAUCACUGCAGCCACGACGAGCAUGGUGCUGACAGGGAAGCCACCAGGCUGGCUGCAAAGAGGAGUGAGGGGAAGCCGGCACUGCCUUCUCAUCAUCAUACCAGGGCAAAGGAGUACCUGGCAGGCAAAGAAAACUGCCCUGAACAUUUCUUCCAGUAGCAUCUACUCUAAAGGCGAGAGAAGAACUGGCUGGAAACUAACUGCCUGUUGGAUUCUGCAUAGAAAAUAAAGUAUGCAUCCGAAAUAUUAUUCAGUUGUCUGAGAACUGCUAGACUACAUUUUAAGCUGGCAUCAUGGAGUAUUUAUAACUGCCAAAACAAGUUAUUUCAAAAAUAAACGUGGUAUUUUUA